rnacentral:rRNA from 1 species
UACGGAGGGUGCGAGCGUUGUCCGGAAUCACUGGGCGUAAAGGGCGCGUAGGCGGCCUGAUAAGUAGGGGGUGAAAAUCCUGCGGCUUAACCGCAGGGCUGCCUUCUAAACUGUCAGGCUAGAGCACGGUAGAGGCAGAUGGAAUUCCCGGUGUAGCGGUGGAAUGCGUAGAGAUCGGGAAGAACAUCAGUGGCGAAGGCGGUCUGCUGGGCCGAUACUGACGCUGAGGAGCGAAAGCGUGGGGAGCGAACAGG